rnacentral:tRNA from 4 species
CGGGCUAUAGUAUAUUGGUAGUACAACAGGCUGGGGGUCUGUUAGGCUGGGUUCGAUUCCCAGUAGCCCGA